UUCAUGAUUAUUUCAGCUUCUGGUUAAGAAUGUAAUAGUGAUGGCACACAGCUCCUGAUCUUACUCUACCACUUCAGUCAAUGGCAGCUAUGGAUGCUCAGCACUCCUGAGAGAAACAGCCCAUUCAAAGUUACUCCUUCAACAAAGAUGUCACAGUAUUCUCCUAACUCUCCAUGUCUGCUUUACUUCAAAACCUUUGAGAAGAUAUUUAAAUAGUCACCAGACCAGCAUAAGUAAGAUGUGUGCUGACUUUUCAAGCUUUGCCUGUUUCCUGAGGAAAAUACCACAGUUCUCAAUUCCUGGGCGUCUCUGCAUGAAUGAUGCAACUGGAUUUAAUUGUAAAUCUGCUAUAAAAAGAUAA
rnacentral:lncRNA from 1 species